rnacentral:rRNA from 1 species
GACGAACGCUGGCGGCGUGCCUAAUACAUGCAAGUUGAACGAUGAAGAUUGGUGCUUGCACCAAUUUGAAGAGCAGCGAACGGGUGAGUAACGCGUGGGGAAUCUGCCUUUGAGCGGGGGACAACAUUUGGAAACGAAUGCUAAUACCGCAUAACAACUUUAAACAUAAGUUUUAAGUUUGAAAGAUGCAAUUGCAUCACUCAAAGAUGAUCCCGCGUUGUAUUAGCUAGUUGGUGAGGUAAAGGCUCACCAAGGCGAUGAUACAUAGCCGACCUGAGAGGGUGAUCGGCCACAUUGGGACUGAGACACGGCCCAAACUCCUACGGGAGGCAGCAGUAGGGAAUCUUCGGCAAUGGACGAAAGUCUGACCGAGCAACGCCGCGUGAGUGAAGAAGGUUUUCGGAUCGUAAAACUCUGUUGGUAGAGAAGAACGUUGGUGAGAGUGGAAAGCUCAUCAAGUGACGGUAACUACCCAGAAAGGGACGGCUAACUACGUG